UACAUACGCUUCAGGUUACAGACUCCGCUAACCCAGAAAUAGUACCUCAGGUUAAGAACUUUGCUUCAGGAUGAGAACAGAAAUCGCACGACGGUGGUGCCGCAGCAGCAGGAGGCACCAUUAGCUAAAGUGGUACCUCAGGUUAAGAACAGUUUCAGGUUAAGAACAGACCUCCAGAAUGAAUUAAGUUCUUAACCAGAGGUACCACUGUACUAAUUAUAACUUUUAAACACAUUUUGCUGUGUGGAUCUAAUGACUAUAUUAUUAUUCUUGAGUCUAUUUCCCUGUGUUGUCUCUCAGUUUCUCUAACUGUCAGUGUGGUUCUACCGCAGAGCAACAAGAGAAAAGGGAAAUGGUUCUUCCUCUUUUUCUUUCUUUCAUAAGAUUCUGCAAAAUGACAUUAAUUAGCGCAGAGACUCUGAGGCAGUGCCUGAAAUCACUUCCAACUCUUUGGGGGUAAUUGACUAGUUUGAGUGGUGCAGUGAGAAUGUAAGACACUGUCAUAGAUGGUAAUUGAGUUUUAUCCCAUGAUACUUUUAAUAAUAAUAAUAAAACCUUUGGCUUCUAUGGUGAAUGGUUGCAUAUAUGAAGCCUUUCAAAAAGUACAAGUUGAAUUUCGUAUUAGAAGGAAAAGGCUCUUGCAACAUUAAGCAGAAAGUUAGGAAGCCAAAUGGUAAUAUACAUAUUUGGUGCUGUUUCUCUUAGUUGCGGCACAGGAUUAUAAUUAUUUUUUGCUCAUUUGAAGGGGAAUCGAAAGAGUAAAAAAAAGGUGCUGCUUUUGUAGAAUGGGUUAGAGAAAAUAACCAUCAGGAUUUUCCCAGCCCAUGGCACCAGGGGCAUAGGAAGGGUUGUAGGGGGGUGCGACUCUCCCUGGGUGGCAUUCUUGAUGGGGUGUGUGUGACAAAAUGGCACACCACGAGGGUCAGUACUUACCUGGCCUACAGUGUGCCCAAGCCACGUGUCUCUCCUGGGAAUGACGCAGUGGCUCGCGGCCCCGUGCUGCCCAAAACGGCAGCGUGGGGCUUCCAGCUACCAGGCGGACUCUGUGGGCAGCUUGCCGCGGUGCCCCUUGGGUGGAUUGCCGCAGCGCCCCUGUGCCACACCCCCAUGCAUGGAUUGCCAUGGCAUCCCCGGUGGUGCCCUGUGCAUGGAUUGCUGCAUCGCCCCCAUCAGCGGAUUCCCGCAGCACCCCCGUGCAGCACCCCUGUGUGCGGAUCGCCACAGUACCCCUGUGGGCGGCUCACCUUGCCCCCACUGCUCCAGGUGCCGGAGCAGCUAGCUAAGCCCCUGCAUGGCACCACUUAUUUAAAAGUUCAAAGCAAAGUUAAUGGAUUUUGAAUUUCAAUCUAAAAAUAGAGGAGCUUCCAUAUUAUCCAAAAAAAGUAUCCAGAUUUACUGUUAAUACCACUAUUGUGAGUAAAAAAUGAGGGAAAAUCAUUGCUGUUGCUAUAUGAAUAACUUUUGUACAUAUCUAGCUGGUCCUUGCAAAUUCACAACCUCAUUGCAGUGGCCAUACACACACACACACAGAGAGAGAGACUGAGACUGUCCAUGUCCUUCUCUCUGAGGGUCUCUAAGGAAGUGAUGCUUAGCCACACCCAAGGAAUGAUGAGUUGACUACACUGCUCUUUGAAAGUAGACAGAAGAAAUAAGAUCUGAUACCACUUUUUUAUAUGCUGGGUGAACUGGGCACUUGAGCUUUUUCUGGCCUAUUGAAACUUCCCACAUGCAGGUGAUCAAGAAGGGUAAAACUGACUACUUGAUUUCAGGGAGCAUAAGAACAAGAUUAGGAAAAGAUGUGGUUCAUCUGGCAGCUCAAGUACACAAAAAGCAUUGGAGCAGUAGCAAACUCUAUUUGACAUCCAUCUUUGAAGGGACAAAGAUGGGCUACACAAGUAUGGAACAAAUGAGCACGGAUUGUAAAAUACCUUGAAUGCAUAGAUAUUGUGCAUUAAUUAGAUUGUGCCAUUUUCCUAGUACAACUGCUUCCACACUAGGCAUUUAGCAUGGAAUUGCCAUGCUUCAUUCACACACACUUUACGGGCAUCCACAUUAUAUUUAUAUGUGGUCAUUGUCAGCCUGAAUUUUCCCUGUGAUUCUUCUGUAUUUUUUUCUCAGGUUGCAGAAAGCCUGAUUUCCCCCAAAAAACAACAACACAAGGGCAGCACAAUCUCGACUGGUAUAGAUGCACUAAGCACUACUUGCACAGCAUUUUAAAAGGCGAAUAUUUUAAAAGGUGAACCUGCCCAGCACAUAACCACUAUAGCUUUCAGCAGGCAUAACAUUAGCAUUCUUUUCGUAAGAAAUAUUUUAAAACCUGUUUUCCAGUCUAAUGGCUUUCAGUUGGUCAAAAGGCUUUUCAGGUGAAUUCAAACUUUGUCAUGCAUAGCGGUUAUGUUACGUCCGUUGGGAUGGAAAAUAGCAAGAUGAACAUGCAGAAAGAGAGUGCAGUAUCCCAAAUAGUGUACAGUGUUAAUUGCAAUUCCACGUGUAGCCUACACAGUGAAAAAGCAAUGAUUAUUAGCACUAGGAGCCACCCAUCCGGAUGCAACCUGGAAGUCUACUGUUUAAGGUAGAGGAGCAGUAUGGUUGGUUUAGGCCAGCCUGAUGUUGGGAAAGAUGGAGGGCACAAGGAGAAGGGGACGACAGAGGACGAGAUGGUUGGACAGUGUUCUCGAAGCUACCAGCAUGAGUUUGACCAAACUGCGGGAGGCAGUGGAAGACAGGAGUGCCUGGCGUGCUCUGGUCCAUGGGGUCACGAAGAGUCGGACGCAACUAAAUGACUAAACAACAACAACAACAACAACAACAAAUUAUGAUAGGCUCUCUAGGAAGGAACAGAGGAAACUGUGCUGAAUCAGACCAUUGGUUCAUAUGAAUCAGCAUCACCUCCUGGCAGGGCUUUCAGAGAGAAGUCUUUUCUAGCUCUACCUAGAGAUUCCAUGGAUUGAACUUGAAGACCUUUCACAUGCUAAUUGUGUGAUCUACCGAAGAGUUGUGGAACAUGAGUCUUAUGGAUACCAGCUGUGUAUGCUUUGCAGGUUCUCUCUUGCUGGGCAUCUUUGGUGCCUAAUUAUGAUUCAUGAAUGCUAAGUUUCUUGCAACAGCUGUUGAGGUCAUGACUUUUAGACUUCCAUUUUGCUUAAACUGUCUGCGUGUGCGCUCAUGUUUGUGCAUAGGGUAGUGAAGCGGUAGAGUUCUUGACAAGAGAUGGAAGAUGGCCAGCUCUUAGGAAAAUGAGGCCUGUUUAAUUAGGAAGGACUUAUUGAACAAAUCCUCCCGUACUUUCAGUGAUCUUGACCCUAAGAUCCUCCUGCUGCCCAUUAUGUCGUUGGCCAAAAAUAAAUGCAAAAGUCAGAUCCAUCAUUGUCUGCAAAGUAACAAAAUGGAAUGCUGUGGAUUUGUUCUAUUGGAAAUAUGGAGUAUAUUUCCAGGCAACUACAGAAGGCAACAGAAGGGCAGCAGCAGCAGUAGAGUGGCGUCCUGGAAAGGCAAUAUGACAGAAUAACCGAAAACAUGCAAAACAAAACAAGUCUGAGUGUGUGCCAGAGGCAUCUUUUCUCUAAAUUAUCAUAAGACUCUCAAUAGGAGCUGACUGUGGAGGCAGUGUGCUUUUUCACACCUGACUGUAGCAGUCAGUUUUGUAUCUUCUUUAUUUCUCAGCUGCCAUAUAGGAUACUCAGGCUUCAGUGCACGACUGUUGUGAUGUUUAGAGCUGACAUGUCUUUCGUGGGCUUUAUAUUACAUUUUCCAGAAAUCGAGGGCUGCUAAUUUGAAGUCCAAAUACAGUUUUGCUGUUCUAACUCUGUUAGACUGGCUCCAUCACUGCUCACUUUCAGAAAAGCACAGCUUUUUAAUUGUUUCCAGUGUGUGACGGUUUGAUUCUGUUCUCCCUAGUUUUAUGAUAUUUCCUGCUCUGUUUGUAACCUAGGUUAUUGCUGUUGUUUUUAUAGCUUGCUUAUUGUUAAAAAUUGGUUUUAAUGCUUAAUUUUUUGUGUACUCAUGCCUUGUGGACCUUUGUCAGGGCUGAAAGACUGGGUAUGUAUGUGGAUGGAUGGAUGGAUGGAUGGAUGGAUGGAUGGAUAGACAGAUAGAUAAGGGAUAACAGUAUGACAUUCUGUGUGGCACUGCACUAGACUUCCAGGCACCACAAUUCAAGACAAUUCUGGUAAAAGGUAACAUUGUUAAGUAGGGGGAGUGGGAAAGGGAAUGUGAAUGGUUACAGCUCCUGAUAGAUCAGAGACAGAGAUACUGUGGCUUUCCAGAGGUUGUUGGACCACAGUUCCCUUUAACCCUGACCACUGGCCAUGCUGAUUGGAGCUGAAGAUUUCUGUAGUCCAACAACACCCGGAGGGCCACAGGGUAGCUACCCCUGCUGUAGAGUGUCCUCAUGGUGGAAAGUCCCACUUUGUGUCUAUACAAUAUGUAAAUUGUCCUGAUUUACAAACUGAAAUUUUCACACCUCUUUGGCUUAAAAUAAAACAAAAAAUCCUGAAUGACUUAGGGUCUGUUAUAAAUUCAUUUAAAAUGUAUGGAUUAUGCUUUUCCUUGCUGAAAUAGGAGAAAAAUAUAGUACACAUGGCAUACGGCUGCUAAUGUUUUUAAACAGAAUGUGGAUAUUUUCCUCCAUAUUUUUUUUAAGGCUUAGUUUUUGCUUUCAUGUUUCCAUGGCAGCACAGACUCUUUCUAUAAUAUCAAAACACACAUCCUCAAAUUGUUGUUUCCUAAAUAAUAAGAUGAUCAUUGAGACAAAGGUGAAAAUCAUUUUUUUUUGAAGAAGUUUAAAAAUAAAUUAGAAGGGAAUGUGAGAACAGG
rnacentral:lncRNA from 1 species